AUAAUAUGUUAAGCCAAAAGUGAAGAAGCGCUAAUUGACAAAUAAAUAGCUUUGAGAGGUAAAUUAGCAAAUUCUUCAAAAGUGCAAGGACCUAUUCUGCUCUAUAAAAGCUCCACUCUUAUACCUGAAGCCCUCAUAACCCUAAAUUUCACUUGGCCGCCGCAUAUUGAGGGUUUUAUGUGAAACACAAGCUAGAAAUAGAAGAAAAUACUUGCUCUUUUGAUGGAAGCAAUACUCAAGUUCAGUGACAAGCAAUGGAGAAAAGCUUUAUGUUUCACACAAAUCCUUCUGCAAUCCAUAACCAUGUUAAUUUCAGGACUAGAUUUUUCUUGUCCCAAGUGUUGUAAAAUAAGAAAGCAAGGUUUCAGGUGUUUCUUAAUAUUUGCAACAUAGUUGGUGUGUAUCCAUGCAGUGUUUGGAUUAGCUAUAAGGCAUCAAGUGGGCACUUGUUGAGGCUGCAUCUUGUUAUUUGUUCAUUGGAAUAUCAAAGGAGAGUGACAGCUUGCUUUAUAUCUAAUGCCUUUGAUGCAAGAAUUUAGUGUGCUCACAUCUAAACUUAGGAUUAAGUAUUUUAAUAUGUCUUUUUGGAACUAUGCUUGUGUUUUCUUUAUUAUUGUCUUUAAAAUAUCUUUUGGGAGUUAAUUACGGUUAAUAUUUGUGUAGCUAUUCUCCAUUUAUUUGUUAAAUUGCAAGAUGGCAUUGCCUUUAUAUGCCUUGAUAAUUGGUGAGGAAUCAUCUUGUAUCCCUAUUUAAGCAUAAGUCUGUUCCAAUAUGUAGAACAUUGUCCAAGCGUGUGGACUAAACUACAUGUAUUAUGCAAAAUAUCUGGAAACAUGCUAUCUUUAUUUUUCAACAUUUUGCAUGGUUGUGGGUUGUAGAGGGUUUUAUGUGAAAGAUAGGCGAGCAGUAGAAGAAGGUGCUUGCUCACUCAAAGUCAACGGCAAAUACUGAAGAAAAGCUUUAUGUUUCACACAAAGCCUUUCGCAAUCCAUAACCAUGUUAAUUUCAGGGCUGGAUCCUCAAGUCUUGUAAAAUAAGAAAGCAAGGUUUCAGGUGUUUCUUAAUACUUGCAGCAUAGUUUGAUUAUAUCCAUGCAUUGUUUGGAUAGCUACAAGAUUACCAUUUCACUUUGUUUUAUACCUUCCUCAUAAAAAAGUGAGAACAAAUUGAAGGGAGGCAAUUACAAA